CCUACGGGGGGCAGCAGUGAGGAAUAUUGGUCAAUGGACGAGAGUCUGAACCAGCCAAGUAGCGUGAAGGAUGACUGCCCUAUGGGUUGUAAACUUCUUUUAUAAAGGAAUAAAACGAGGCACGUGUGCCUUUUUGCAUGUACUUUAUGAAUAAGGAUCGGCUAACCCCGUGCCAGCAGCCGCGGUAAUACGGAGGAUCCGAGCGUUAUCCGGAUUUAUUGGGUUUAAAGGGAGCGUAGAUGGGUUGUUAAGUCAGUUGUGAAUGUUUGCGGCUCAACCGUAAAAUUGCAAUUGAUACUGGCAGUCUAGAGUACAGUUGAGGUAGGCGGAAUUCGUGGUGUAGCGGUGAAAUGCUUAGAUAUCACGAAGAACACCGAUUGCGAAGGCAGCUUACUAAACUGUGACUGACAUUGAUGCUCGAAAGUGUGGGUAUCAAACAGGAUUAGAUACCCUUGUAGUC
rnacentral:rRNA from 1 species